AACGAACGCUGGCGGCAGGCUUAACACAUGCAAGUCGAACGAGAUCUUCGGAUCUAGUGGCAGACGGGUGAGGAACACGUGGGAACAUCCCUUUCAGUUCGGAAUAACGUUGGGAAACUAACGCUAAUACCGGAUACGUCCUUCGGGAGAAAGAUUUAUCGCUGAAAGAUUGGCCCGCGUCUGAUUAGCUAGUUGGUGAGGUAACGGCUCACCAAGGCUACGAUCAGUAGCUGAUCUGAGAGGAUGAUCAGCCACAUUGGGACUGAGACACGGCCCAAACUCCUACGGGAGGCAGCAGUGUGGAAUAUUGGACAAUGGGCGCAGGCCUGAUCCAGCCAUGCCGCGUGAGUGAUGACGGCCUUCGGGUUGUAAAGCCCUUUUGUCCGGGAAGAUAAUGACUGUACCGGAAGAAUAAGCCCCGGCAAACUUCGUGCCAGCAGCCGCCGUAA
rnacentral:rRNA from 1 species